rnacentral:lncRNA from 1 species
GUAACUUCACCCUAGCCUCUGAUUGGCUGCCUUUUGCAACCAAUCAGAUGUCUGUACAAGAAUGUGACCUUUGUAACUUUACUUUAGCCUCUGAUUGUCUGCUUUCUGUAACCAGUCAGACUGAUUGCAGGCUAUCACUUCAUUUACAUGAGGUGAGCAUGAAGUGGCUGAUGGGAAACACCUAGGUGGUAUGUGGAACCAAGAAGAUUCUGUAUCCAGACCCUCCAGCCACUGCUCGGGCCUGCUCCCACACUGUGGAGUGUACUUUCAUUUUCAAUAAAUCCCUGCUUUCGUUCUUUUGUUGCUUCAUUCUUUGCUUUGCUGGGCAUUUUGUCCAAUUCUUUGUUCAAAAUGCCAAGAACCUGGACAACUUGCAGUAAGGACCCUCUACCAGUGACAUAUCUUUGCAAUCCAGCCAGGAGAAAAGUACCCUCGUGGACAGCACUUAAGCAUGGAGGCAACUAA